UGCUCCAGAAUAGCUCUUGGAAACGGGUGGUAAUGCUGGAUGCUCCAACUUGACGCAUGUCUUGUUGGGAAAGUGUUUAGUGGCAUGGGAUGGGGUCGCGUCCUAUCAGCUUGUAGGCGGGGUAAUGGCCCACCUAGGCUUCGACGGGUAGCCGGCCUGAGAGGGCGGACGGCCACAUUGGGACUGAGAUACGGCCCAGACUCCUACGGGAGGCAGCAGCA
rnacentral:rRNA from 1 species